rnacentral:misc_RNA from 1 species
AAGUCGUAACAAGGUUUCCGUAGGUGAACCUGCGGAAGGAUCAUUACAAAAUCCAAAACUAAAACACAAUCUUGUGCUCUUGAUUCUAUUAUCGCUCUCAAGAUAAAAAGAGAUCAGAGCGAGUGGAGUAUUUGAAUAUAAGGUCUUUGCGGUCGGUGCUCUCGUGGCCAUUAGACCGCAAACUCUUUCUUUCAGUACACCGAAGCUUGUUCUCCUCUUUUCUUGGGGCAUAAUAUGUCUUUUAUCUUUUUUACUUUAAAAAACUCCUUGUUGGCCGUCAAAGCCAACCACAGCAAAAAGGAAUAACAAUGUUACAACUUGAGAACAAAAAAAAUAAACAAAAUGACAACUUUUAACGGUGGAUCUCUUGGCUCGU